rnacentral:rRNA from 1 species
GACGAACGCUGGCGGCGUGCCUAAUACAUGCAAGUAGGACGCAGUUGCGAACGGGUGAGUAACGCGUAGGUUACUGCCUAUUAGAGGGGGAUAAAUAUUGGCAACGAUAGCUAAUACCGCAUACUAGUAGAUGGACCUGCGUUGUAUUAGCUAGUAGGUAGGGUAAUGGCCUAACGAGGCGACGAUACAUAGCCGACCUGUGAGAGGAAUCGGCCAAACUGGGACUGAGACACGGCCCAGUCUCCUACGGGAGGCAGCCGUAGGGAAUCUUCGGCAAGGGGGCGAAACCUUACCGAGCAACGCCGCGUGAGAGAAGAAGGUUUUCGGAUCGUAAAGCUCUGUUGUUAAGGAAGCGGUACUUAACCAGAAAGGGACGGCUAACUACGUGCCAGCAGCGGCGGUAAUUC